UAACACAUGCAAGUCGAACGAGAAGCUCUCUUCGGAGAGCGUAAAGUGGCAGACGGGUGCGUAACACGUGGGAACCUACCCUUCAGUUGGGAACAACCACGGGAAACCGGGGCUAAUACCCGAUACGCCCGAGCAAUCGGGGAAAGAUUUAUCGCUGAUGGAGGGGCCCGCGGCGGAUUAGCUAGUUGGUAAGGUAAAGGCUUACCAAGGCGACGAUCCGUAGCUGGUCUGAGAGGAUGAUCAGCCACACUGGGACUGAGACACGGCCCAGACUCCUACGGGAGGCAGCAGUGAGGAAUCUUGCGCAAUGGGCGAAANCCUGACGCAGCCAUGCCGCGUGAGUGAAGAAGGCUCUAGAGUCGUAAAGCUCUUUCACCGGUCAAGAUAAUGACGGUAGCCGGAGAAGAAGCCCCGGCCAACUUCGUGCCAGCAGCCGCGGUAAUACGAGGGGGGCUAGCGUUGUCCGGAAUUACUGGGCGUAAAGCGCGCGUAGGCGGAUAUGUAAGUCAGGGGUGAAAUCCCGGGGCCCAACCUCGGAACUGCCCUUGAUACUGCAUGUCUAGAGUCCGGAAGAGGUAAGUGGAAUUCCCAGUGUAGAGGUGAAAUUCGUAGAUAUUGGGAAGAACACCAGAGGCGAAGGCGACUUACUGGUCCGGUACUGACGCUCAGGCGCGAAAGCGUGGGUAGCGAACAGGAUUAGAUACCCUGGUAGUCCACGCCCUAAACGAUGGGUGCCAGCUGUCGGAUCGCUUGAUNAUUCGGUGGCGCAGCUAACGCUUUGAGCACCCCGCCUGGGGAGUACGACCGCAAGGUUGAAACUCAAAGGAAUUGACGGGGGCCCGCACAAGGUGGGGAGGAUGUGGUUUAAUUCGAGGCAACGCGAAGAACCUUACCGGCCCUUGAUCUUGGUCGCGGAGCGCAGAGAUGCGCUCCUUCCCUUCGGGAAUCGGAACACAGGUGCUGCAUGGCUGUCGUCAGCUCGUGUCGCGAGAUGUUGGGUUAAGUCCCGCAACGAGCGCAACCCUCGCCCUCAGUUGCCAGCAGUUCGGCUGGGCACUUUGGGGGUACUGUCGGUUAUAAGCCGGAGGAAGGUGGGGAUGACGUCAAGUCCUCAUGGCCUUUAUGGGCCGGGCUACACACGUCCUACAGUGGCGAUGACAAUGGGUCGCGAACCCGCGAGGGUAAGCUAAUCUCUAAACAUCGCCGUGGUUCGGAUUGCACUCUGCAACUCGGGUGCAUGAAGUCGGAAUCGCUAGUAAUCGCGGAUCAGCAUGCCGCGGUGAUUACGUU
rnacentral:rRNA from 1 species